CAGGUCUGCCUCAUGGAAGUACCUAGGAUGUUUGACCAAAUGUCUGGUCAUCCCAUAUCCUGAUCAAAUUUACAUGUGAAAUUCACCAUUACUAGGAUGGUGAGAAAUUUAGAUGUGGGGGUUAUGUACAGAAGGCUUUAAGCAAUGCUGAAAAAUCUGACUUUUUUUUUUCUUUGGUACCAGGGGUCGAACUUGGAACCUUGUGCUUGCGAGGCAGGCAGCAGCACCACUGAGCUAAAUCCCCAGCCCUGACUUUUUUUCUACGAGCAAUGGAUAGCCACUGAAGCACUUCAAGAAAAAGGACUAACUCUAAUGAGUAUUGGAGAAAGAUUGCUUUGGUUAGUGUAUAAGAAAGGAGCAAUUUCAAGGGAAGCUUCAUAGAAGUGACUUUUAAGUUAAGCCUUGAAGAAUGGGUAGGAUUUUAAUUAUUUGGAGAGGAAUAAUGGGCAUUUCAAAUAAAAUGAAUGCCACAGCAAGUGAAUAAAUAUGGAACUUGAAGGUAUUCAAUGACUAAGCUGUUCCAACUUGAAAAUGGGAAAUUGAAUGGGGGAAAAGGGGUAUAAAAUGAGCAUAGCAAGGUGGCUUGGGGGACAAGUCACAGAGUGCCUUGAGUAACAGGAUAAGAAAUCCCUGGUUUGAUAGCUAAUGAGGGGAAUUGAUGGUUUCUUUGACACAUCAGGUAUGUUUUGGGAGGAUGGCUAUUGAUGACAGAGGAUUGGCAGCUGGAGACAAUGCUGACAGAGCAUACAGCACCUGGGAAGAAACAAUUACAGACUGAAAGACAAGAGAAAAUGUUUGCUGAGGGCUGGAGAUUCAGCACAGUGGUGCCACCACCUGCCUCGAAAGCACAAAGUCCUAAGUUCGAUCCCCGGUACUAAGAAAGAAAAAAAGAAAAUGUUUGCUGAACCUGCAUGUGGAGGAAAUCAGGUGGGUAUGUUAGAAACUCAAGAAGGCACAACCAGGGUGAGCUGUAGAAUCCCACCCCUUCCUGCCUUCAUCUGAGACCAAGAUCACACACCUGGGAACCAGUCUGCAAGCAGGAAGCACGAGAUGCAUGGUGCAUGCUAUUCAGCAUGCCCCCAAGGAGACAAAGCUAUGGAGUGGAUGGCAUGUUACAUGUAGAUGGAUGUUUUGAUUUUUUUCAUUGUUGUUUUAUGUCUGUGUGUUUUCCUAUUAAGGAUAAAAUAAAUCCACUCUGCCACUCAGAGCUCGACUUCCCUCCCUAGUCCUAGGUUCUGAUUAUUGAGGCAAAGUGACAUUUUCCUACAGUGCUGGUCAUUAUUUUGCUCCUGGAAUUGCAAAUCCAAGGACUAAAUGGCACAGUCUGCAUACAUCAAGGAGGGAAGGGAAUCCCACCAGAGGGGCCUUGAAACAAAGGAAACAAAUAACUUCAAAACCAUAUCAUGCAAUCUGGACCUGACAUAGGACAGAUGGGACUGAAUUGUUUGAUUCUCUCAGCAGAACAGCGGAAGGAAAUAUUUUUAAAUGAGAUUAUAUUAUUUUCCCCAGUUCUUGUUAUGAAACCUUCCUGAAAUGAACUUUAAAUAUCAUGGCCCCUGUUGUGAUGAAUGAGAUUCAGCAGACGGGAGGAGCACUGCAAGGAAGUGGCUCCAUUAUGGAAAAUGUGAGAGGCAGAGGCUGGCAUGAAGAGUGGACCCCUGUGGGCCCCUUGGCUGUGUGAAAAGCCAGGCUUUGAAGCACAGCUGGGUGUGUUAAGAAGGGACAAGGGGCUUUGAAAAGCUAUGUGCUCCACAAAAACAUUAAGUAAGGACAUUUGUUGUAAUAAAUAAAACAUCUUCUGCAUUCUUUGCCUUCAAUGAGAAAACGAUUUACAACUAGUUAUUGUAUAGAAGAGAAAAAAUAUCCUAGAAAUGAUGAAAAUCUUCUUAAAAUCAAGCAUUAAUUCUUUAUAAUGCUAGGCUUUCCAUGCAGAAUUUUCCUAUGGAAGUUGUCUGUAUCAUCCAGCCCCCUGAGUAAUGACACUGUCGAUAUCAUUCAACUCUGCUGAAUAAUAAAAAAAGUCUCAUUUGUGUUCUCGAGCCAAAUGACUGUCCAGGCAGGAUGAAAUAGACAAGUGCUGCGUUUGUUGCCUUUGAUAGGUGUCUUCCCACACACAUCUCAUUGUUGGGGUUCCCCAAGAUCCUCUGAGGACUGGAUCCCAUGUCCAACUGAUUGUCUGAUAUUCCCACCAAAAAGUUUCACAACACCUGAAAUUUCACUAUUUUCCCCCACUCUACUCCCAUGCUUCACCAUCUCUAUAAAAGGUACCAACAUCCCUCUUCUCAUCAAGUCAGAAUUUAGGAUCCACCCCAAAUUCUUCCCUUUCCCCUAACACCUACAUCUAAUUUUGCCAGUAAAUUCUGGGGGUUGGAUUACUUAGUGAUGUCUUCCAUCUGAAAAUUUCCCUUAAUAAUCAUUGCUGCUAUUGUAGUUUAGGUGGCGAUCAUUUCUGAUCUGGACUAAAGCAAAUAUCUCUUAUGUGAUUUCCCUUCUUCUAUUCUCAUGGCCCACCCCUCAGACCAUUCUCCAUGCAGUUAAAAAUAAUGACUCUUGAAGAAUAAGUAAGACCACAUCAAUGCUCUGCUUAAGACUCUUCAGUGACAUCCCAUGGCAUUUAAAAUGAAAUCCAGGCCUAUAAAUCCUACAUGAGCUGAUCUGGCUAUUACUCUAGCUCAGAGGUGGCUAACCUAUGGCACACAUGCUGCAGUGGGCUAUUUGUUAUCAUUGAAAGCUCGAAAAGAUUUGCCUUCACUGCUCUAGCUCCUUCUCAGUCUCCCUUUUCCCCACUCUGUUUUCCAGCAGCAUCUGUCUUUUCUCUUGUUCACUCUUCUGAGUCUGUGUUUUCAGUUCCCAGUAAAGUUCACCUACCAUUCCCCAAAUUCACAGCCUGCCAUUUUGGAUACAU
rnacentral:lncRNA from 1 species